rnacentral:ncRNA from 1 species
ACAUAAGCGUUGAAUUAGAGUAGUAAAAGGAAAGCUUUUUAUAGAGACUUGAUGUUUGGUGGAAAUCAAGAGAAGGAACCUUUGAACUUGCUAAGGAGCUGAUAAGUAAUGUUAUCCGUUAUCUUGCGUUAAAAGAUUUGAGUGAUCAAGAAGUUUUUCUUGGUAACUAAGGUGGUACCGCGUUUAUUACGUCCUUAGA